GGCUUCCUACGGGAGGCAGCAGUGGGGAAUUGUUCACAAUGGGCGCAAGCCUGAUGACGCAACGCCGCGUGGGGGAUGAAGGUCUUCGGAUCGUAAACCCCUGUCGAAUGGGACGAAAGACCCGGGAGCUAAUCAUCCUGGGAGUGACGGUACCGUUAAAGGAAGCCACGGCUAACUCUGUGCCAGCAGCCGCGGUAAUACAGAGGUGGCAAGCGUUGUUCGGAAUUACUGGGCGUAAAGGGCGCGUAGGCGGCCUUCUAAGUCAGACGUGAAAUCCCCCGGCUUAACCUGGGAACUGCGUCUGAUACUGGGAGGCUUGAGUAUGGGAGAGGGAUGUAGAAUUCCAGGUGUAGCGGUGAAAUGCGUAGAUAUCUGGAGGAAUACCGGUGGCGAAGGCGGCAUCCUGGACCAUAACUGACGCUGAGGCGCGAAAGCUAGGGGAGCAAACGGGAUUAGAUACCCCGGUAGUCCUAGCCCUAAACGAUGAAUACUUGGUGUGGCGGGUAUCGAUCCCUGCCGUGCCGAAGCUAACGCAUUAAGUGUUCCGCCUGGGGAGUACGGUCGCAAGGCUGAAACUC
rnacentral:rRNA from 1 species